CGGAGUGUAGCUCAGCUUGGUAGAGCACCGUCUUCGGGAGGCGGGGGUCGAAGGUUCAAAUCCUUUCACUCCGACCA
rnacentral:tRNA from 18 species